UACAGAGGUCUCAAGCGUUGUUCGGAUUCAUUGGGCGUAAAGGGUGCGUAGGCGGCGCGGUAAGUCGGGUGUGAAAUCUCAGGGCUCAACCCUGAAACUGCAUUCGAUACUGCCUUGCUCGAGGACUGGAGAGGAGAUUGGAAUUCACGGUGUAGCAGUGAAAUGCGUAGAUAUCGUGAGGAAGACCAGUGGCGAAGGCGGAUCUCUGGACAGUUCCUGACACUGAGGCACGAAGGCCAGGGGAGCAAACGGG
rnacentral:rRNA from 1 species